ensembl:miRNA
AUAUAUGUGCAUGUGUGUAUACUUGUGUGUGCAUGUAUAUGUGUGUAUAUGAAUAUACAUAUACAUACACACCCAUAUAUACACGCAUGCAUACACACGCACA